rnacentral:rRNA from 1 species
CACAUCCUGCGAUGAUCUGGUCUUUCUUGCGCAGAAUAGGUGGGAGGCUUUGAGAAGAUCUUGUGGGAUCUUUGGAGCCAAUCGUGAGAUACCACUCUUUUAAAGCUCGGAUUCUCACUCUCUACCGUAAUCCGGGGAGAGGACACUCCCAGGUGGGCAGUUUGACUGGGGCGGUCGCCUCCUAAAAGGUAACGGAGGCGCACAAAGGUUUCCUCACAUCGGAUAGAAAUCGAUCGAAGAGUGUAAAGGCAAAAGGAAGCUUGACUGCGAGACGUACAAGUCAAGCAGAGACGAAAGUCGGUCUUAGUGAUCCGACGAUCCUGAGUGGAAAGGUCGUCGCUCAACGGAUAAAAGUUACUCUAGGGAUACAGGCUGAAAAA